AGAACGAACGCUGGCGGCAGGCCUCAAACAUGCAAGUCUAGGGGGUGUAGCAAUACAUCACCGGCGGACGGGUGCGUAACACGUGGGAAUAUACCUUUUGGUUCGGAACAACGCAGGGAAACUUGCGCUAAUACCGAAUGUGCCCUUACGGGGAAAGAUUUAUCGCCGAAGGAUUGGCCCGCGUUCGAUUAGCUUGUUGGUGAGGUAACGGCUCACCAAGGCGACGAUCGAUAGCUGGUCUGAGAGGAUGGCCAGCCACAUUGGGACUGAGACACGGCCCAAACUCCUACGGGAGGCAGCAGUGGGGAAUAUUGGACAAUGGGCGCAAGCCUGAUCCAGCCAUGCCGCGUGAGUGAUGACGGCCUUAGGGUUGUAAAGCUCUUUCGCACGCGACGAUAAUGACGGUAGCGUGAGAAGAAGCCCCGGCUAACUUCGCGCCAGCAGCCGC
rnacentral:rRNA from 1 species